AUACUUGCGAUGAGAAGGAAAGUACAGGUCUUGUGGUCGUGCAGAGAGCCGAUGGGUGGUGCGAAUCGGUCGCCAGGGAUGCUGGAAACACACCUUUGAGCUGUGGCCCGAACGGCUGUCAGAUGGCAGCUGAGUAGACGUCACCGGAGACUUCCACCGUUAUCAGCGGAAGGGGGGUUAGUUGUUUUGACUCCUGAUGAGUGGUCAUGUGCGGCCUGGGUUCUGAUGAACUGGGUGGUGCAUGGCAAGAUGGGUGGUACCGCGAGCGAGCUCUCGUCCCGUUA
rnacentral:ncRNA from 1 species